rnacentral:rRNA from 1 species
CAGUAGCCGCGGUAAUACGGAGGGUGCAAGCGUUAAUCGGAAUUACUGGGCGUAAAGCGCACGCAGGCGGUUUGUUAAGUCAGAUGUGAAAUCCCCGGGCUCAACCUGGGAACUGCAUUUGAAACUGGCAAGCUAGAGUCUCGUAGAGGGGGGUAGAAUUCCAGGUGUAGCGGUGAAAUGCGUAGAGAUCUGGAGGAAUACCGGUGGCGAAGGCGGCCCCCUGGACGAAGACUGACGCUCAGGUGCGAAAGCGUGGGGAGCAAACAGGAUUAGAUACCCCAGUAGUCCCUGUCUCUUAUAA